GGUGGGAAUUAAUCAAGGAGCUAGUGGGUAGGAAUGAAUCAGGGCAGUUAUUUUGACAAGGUAGUGAGGGAAGGCCUCUCUGAGGUAUCAUUUGGGCAAAGACUUGACUGGUGUGAGGAAGUGAGCCAUUCAAAGUCAAGGGUACCAGUGGUUCUAAGCGGGCACAACAGGGAAUGCAAAGCAGAGAACAAACUUGGCACAGUUGAGGGACAACAAUAAGUCCAGUGUGUCUGGAGCCAAGAGAAUGAGGGGGAGAGCGGUUUAAUCACUGACACACCAGGAAACCAGAUGGUGGAGGGCCUUGCAGACCACGGGAAAGAGUUUCAUUUUGAUGCUAAGUAUGUUGGGAAACAUUGGAGCACUUUGAACAGGGGAAUAUGAUCUAAUCCACAGUUUUGAAGAUAGUACUUCACUACGUAGACAACGAACACACAGAUGCAGAAGUGGAAGCAGGAAGACCUAUUAUAAGGCUAGUGCAGUGACCCAGGUAGAAACAUGGGUAACCACAUUCAAAUCAAAGGAUUGCUUGAUGAGUUGGAAUCAGAUAAAGAGAAUGAAUGAUUCGAACAUCAGUAUAAGCCUUGGUGACCUUCCUGAACAAACAGAGGCCAACGCCUCCACUGGGGAGACAUCGGGGAGAAGUCAAAGGCCAGGGAGGCACCACAGGCAAUAAAGAAUCCAGGAGUGGAAGUCUCAACACCCACCUGACAAAGAAAGGGGAAGAUCUCAAGAAAGAAGUGGU